rnacentral:lncRNA from 10 species
GGAAGAUGAGGGACACAGAGAAGCAGAGAGAGGCAGAGACACCAUGGCAGUGAGCAGUGAGGGAGACACUGACUUCAGAGACCCCAGGCUUUCACAAGCUCCAAAAGAUUCACCGUGCAGAACUGGAGAUUCUAGAGAAAGACCACGCCUCCUCCUGCGGUGAGACCAUUCCACAGCCCCUGAAUGACAAGACAGGCCUUCAAACUCAAGACUACCUGGCUAGGUCCUGUGAGAUUCACGCUCAAAGAGGUUCUGUUCUGAUGUGUUUCCAGGAUUUGUUUCAAGAUUUGGAGCUCCUUUUAGCAGUUAUUGUAGUGCUGGCUUGGUAGUGGCAAAUUCUCUGAGCAUUUGUUUGUCUGAAAAAGACUGUUAUCUUUCCUUUAUUUAUGAACUUUAGUUUUGCUGGAUACAAAAUUCUUGGCUGAUAAUUUUUUUUUUCUUUUUCUGAGAUGGAGUCUUUCCCUGUUGCCCAGGCUGGAGUGCAGUGGUGUGAUCUCGGCUCACUGCAACCUCCGCCUCCUGGAUUCACGCCAUUCUCCUGCCUCAGCCUCCUGAGUAGCUGGGAUUACAGGCGCCUGCCACCAGG